GGGAAGGUGGCCUAGUCCGGUAUGGCGACGGGCUCCAGACUCGUAAACCCCGGGGUUCGCCCCAGGUUGAGUAGCGAGCGUGGGUUCAUGCUGCUUGGUUUCCAAGUGGCAGCCUAGAAAUCCCAUCCUUCCCACCA
rnacentral:tRNA from 1 species